UCCAUUUUUCCCAAAUCUAAAAUCGCUUCCCGAUUUGCACCGGAAAGCUCGCCGAUACUCCGUCCUUUGCCAAAUCCUAACCUAGGUAGUCAAUUUUUUCUGUUGGCGCUUGGAGGAAGUUGAAAAACCAACUGGGCACACCAAAUCAGGAAAUACUUCUCCCGUUGUCUCAGAUGAUUAACUCUUGCUAGCGGUCACGCCCGUCCCCCCUUCCUUCGCCGCCGACGAUGAGCGCCGGUCACCUUCCCCAAUUCCCGGGAGUUGAGGUGAUAUUGAUGUGCUUGAUGCUAUGAUGCCAGAGAAGUUUUCUUCUGGUUCGCCGCAUCGGAGUGUCUCCCCCUUACUUCAUCGUUGCAUGAGCAUCUUCUUACCAUGUAUAUGCUUAGAUAUGGACUGAUGUCUUACUACAUUGAUCAUUUUGCAUACAAGUACGUAUUUUUAGCUUGUUUGCCUUUUAUGCAGUACUUUCAGGAUAGUUGACACUAUUGUUGGUGUAACUGUAUUUGGAAUACCUUAGAACAUGGUUGGAUCGGUCUCAUUUUGUAAGUUUUAUGAUGAAUUUCGGAUUUAA